AGAAGGGCUUCCGCGAGAGAUCGUUCGGGGGCCUUUUUCUUUUGC
rfam:Aquamicrobium defluvii strain W13Z1 genomic scaffold V9__scaffold_16, whole genome shotgun sequence.